rnacentral:rRNA from 1 species
GUGCCAGCAGCCGCGGUAAUACGGAGGGUGCAAGCGUUACUCGGAAUCACUGGGCGUAAAGCGCGCGCAGGCGGCCAUUUAAGUUGGAUGUGAAAGCCUACGGCUCAACCGUAGAACUUGGAUUCCAAAACUAUUUGGCUAGAGUGUGGGAGAGGAAGAUGGAAUUAGUUGUGUAGGGGUAAAAUCCGUAGAGAUAACUAGGAAUACCAAAAGCGAAGGCAAUCUUCUGGAACAUUACUGACGCUGAGGCGCGAAAGCGUGGGGAGCAAACAGGAUUAGAUACCCUGGUAGUCCACGCCCUAAACGAUGAAUGUUAGUCGUCGGGUAGCUAGUCUAUUCGGUGAUGCAGCUAACGCAUUAAACAUUCCGCCUGGGGAGUACGGUCGCAAGAUUAAAACUCAAAGGAAUAGACGGGGACCCGCACAAGUGGUGGAGCAUGUGGUUUAAUUCGAAGAUACGCGAAGAACCUUACCUAGCCUUGACAUAUAUUAGAACUCCGCAGAGAUGUAGAGGUGCCUUCGGGAGCUAAUUUACAGGUGCUGCACGGCUGUCGUCAGCUCGUGUCGUGAGAUGUUGGGUUAAGUCCCGCAACGAGCGCAACCCUCGUCACUAGUUACUAACGGUUCGGCCGAGGACUCUAGUGAGACUGCCUUCGUAAGGAGGAGGAAGGUGAGGACGACGUCAAGUCAUCAUGGCCCUUACGGCUAGGGCAACACACGUGCUACAAUGGCCAGGACAGUGAGACGCGAUACCGCGAGGUGGAGCAAAUCUAUAAACCUGGUCUCAGUUCGGAUUGUAGUCUGCAACUCGACUACAUGAAGCUGGAAUCACUAGUAAUCGUAGAUCAGCUAUGCUACGGUGAAUACGUUCCCGGGUCUUGUACUCACCGCCCGUCACACC